rnacentral:rRNA from 1 species
UACGUAGGGCGCAAGCGUUAUCCGGAAUUAUUGGGCGUAAAGAGCUCGUAGGCGGUUUGUCGCGUCUGCCGUGAAAGCCCGGGGCUUAACCCCGGGUCUGCAUUCGAUACGGGCAGACUAGAGUGUGGUAGGGGAGAUCGGAAUUCCUGGUGUAGCGGUGAAAUGCGCAGAUAUCAGGAGGAACACCGGUGGCGAAGGCGGAUCUCUGGGCCAUUACUGACGCUGAGGAGCGAAAGCGUGGGGAGCGAACAGG